rnacentral:rRNA from 1 species
GAUGAACGCUGGCGGCGUGCCUAAUACAUGCAAGUCGAGCGAAUGGAUUAAGAGCUUGCUCUUAUGAAGUUAGCGGCGGACGGGUGAGUAACACGUGGGUAACCUGCCCAUAAGACUGGGAUAACUCCGGGAAACCGGGGCUAAUACCGGAUAACAUUUUGAACCGCAUGGUUCGAAAUUGAAAGGCUGCUGCGGCUGUCACUUAUGGAUGGACCCGCGUCGCAUUAGCUAGUUGGUGAGGUAACGGCUCACCAAGGCAACGAUGCGUAGCCGACCUGAGAGGGUGAUCGGCCACACUGGGACUGAGACACGGCCCAGACUCCUACGGGAGGCAGCAGUAGGGAAUCUUCCGCAAUGGACGAAAGUCUGACGGAGCAACGCCGCGUGAGUGAUGAGGGCUUUCGGGUCGUAAAACUCUGUUGUUAGGGAAGAACAAGUGCUAGUUGAAUAAGCUGGCACCUUGACGGCACCUAACCAGAAAGCCACGGCUAACUACGUGCCAGCCGCCGCAGUAA